rnacentral:lncRNA from 1 species
GAGUUGUUGAAUGUGCUUAGUGCUCUGAGCCAGCGAGGCUGGAGGGAGGAGCCUGCCCUUCCUAGGUCCCCUGACAUGGGGCCUCGGGCCGGAGCUGGAGGGGCCCCGUGACGCUGAGGAGCAGAACCCUCGUGGAGAUUGAUAACUGCCCUGGGCCGUGUUCACUGGAAUGUGCUGGGUGUGUCUGCUGGCUUAUCUGAAGUCCUCGUGCGCUCUUAAACGUGAACAUAGAUGUGGGUUCCUGGGAGAGUCCCAUGGCAAGUGACAAAUGGCAGCUUGAACAGGGAUGGAUCAUUUGCUCGCCUGUGAGCAGAGUGAGGCUCACUUGUAGUCCAGUUGUCAUCUAACCCUGCGGUUACAUCGUCCUCGUCCCUCUUCCCCGUCCUGGGCCUGUCACUGGCCUCGUGUGCAUUCAUUUUCACUCACGGAUUCAGCAAAGACUAUUAACUACCCCUAGGGGCCAGGCACGGGCCUGCGAACUGGGAACACGACUUACCAAUGACACGUAUUCCUGGGGCCUCAAAGAAUCCACCACCAGCUCAGAGGGUGGAGGAGGGAACAGGUGAUGGGAAGGCCGCGUAGGAGCGGCUGCGGAGCAGAACAGGGGCACUGUCGCAUCUCAGAGUGGGUACCACGGAAGGCAUCACUGCUGCCUCAGCCGAGCCCCGGGUCCAGGCAGAGAAGGGGCAGCAUGACACGAGGCUUGAACUGACAUGACCUGCCUGGGAAAUGGCAAGUGAUAGAGGCCAAGAGCGCCUGCGGACCAGCCCAGCACUGAGGGAGACACUCCACCGGCCUCCUGUCGCCAACUUCCACACCAAGCCUGCAG